rnacentral:rRNA from 1 species
GGGACGAAUAGCUCAGUAAAACUGCGAUGAUUUAGUCUGGCUGUGUAGAUAACUACGUGAAAAUGUAGCUAAGGGAAGGCAGAAUAAGACGCAGGACUAUCAGUUAGUUGGUAGUGUAAUGGACUACCAAGACAGUGACGGUUGACGGGAAAUUAGGGUUUUGUACCGGAGAGGGAGCCUGAGAGAUUGCUCCCACGUCCAAGGACGGCAGCAGGCGCGAAAAUUGCCCACUCUUUGCAGGAGGCAGUUAUGAGACGUGAAGAUGAGUAUCUUGUAAAGAGGGAUAGGAGAAUUGGAGGGCAAGUUUGGUGCCAGCAGCCGCGGUAAUACCGACUCCAAGAGUGUGUAUGAGAGAUGCUGCAGUUAAAAAGUCCGUAGUCAUAGAAGGGCAAAGAGAGAUGCGAGGUCUCACAGUGCGAUGAUGGAGGAGCCGAUGGGGAACAUAGUAUACCAGGGCGAGAGAUGAAAUGCCAAGACCCCUGGUGGACUGAGCGAGGCGAAGGCGAUGUUCUUGUAGGCAUUCGGUGAUCAAGGACGAAGGCUGGAGUAUCGAAAGUGAUUAGAUACCGCAGUAGUUCCAGCAGUAAAAGAUGCCGACAUGCUCAUUGGACACAGUGGGCAGGGAGAAAUCUUAGAGUUCGGGCUCUGGGGAUAGUAUGCUCGCAAGGGUGAAAAUUAAAGAAAUUGACGGAGCUACACCACAAGGAGUGGAUUGUGCGGCUUAAUUUGACUCAACGCGAGGAAACUUACCAGGGCCAAGUAUUGUGUAGAAACGAGCAAUACAGGAGUGGUGCAUGGUCGUUGG